CAAAAGACGCAGAGGUUGAAGAAGAAGAAGCCAUCGAUCUAUGUAGGUAAUUAUAUAUCCUGACUGGCUGAUCGACUGACUAUUUCUCCAUCAGUUUCCUCCAAAUUAAACGAGAUGGGUGGUGGUCUUAGAGAAAUUAAAGUUCUUCAACGCAACCAUGGCAGUGGCAAUAUAUAUGCGCAAGUUAAGAAAUUAAAAUAGGUGGCCACUAGGUAGCUAGGCAAAGCUAGCUAGUCAUGAUAGUUUGAGUAGCAGUUCAUCAAAAGUUGCACCGCGAGCCGGCAAGGGCGGCGGAUGGAGCUGGUACUGGCUUGGGAUCGACGUUAGCGGUGGUGGUACAUGCAUGAUGCGUAUAUGAGAUCGAAUUAAUAGGUAGUAGUUUGAUUUUUCUGACUUUUAUUCCAUAAAUUAACGAUCCCGAUACCUCAAACAUCGAG
rnacentral:lncRNA from 1 species